GAAAUGCGAUAAGUAGUGUGAAUUGCAGAAUUCAGUGAAUCAUCGAAUCUUUGAACGCACAUUGCGCCUCCUGGUAUUCCGGGGGGCAUGUCUGUUUGAGCGUCAGUACCCACUCUUUCGAAAAUUCUUUUUCGUCAGGUCUUGGAGGACACCUUGUCCUCUCAAUGUAGACGCUUGCGAACCUGAUACCGAUCAUGACGUAGUAAUUUCAUUUCGUCUUGUCAAGUUGAAGGCCGCCUGAAUACCAAACUUUGUAGUUUGACCUCAGGUCAGGCGGGGCUACCCGCUGAGUUUAA
rnacentral:misc_RNA from 1 species